UGGACCUUAAAAAAUAAGCCUUCAAAUAAGAAUGAAUGUGCGUGAAAACUACGGGAAUUGCGUCCUGUCCUCGAUAUAUGGGUGCUGCUGAGUGCAGGCUGUGGGGGAGGAUUUAAAUAUCUGAGUCUCCAAACACAAUGUCAAAGAGCAAGAGCAUGAAGAAACACUUGUACAGUUCCCAGUGAGACCCCCCACCCCCUCCUCGACAACACCACCAGCUCCACUCCAACCUGGGCCAGUGCCAGACUGUGAAUGAAUGAGGAGGUCCUAACCAGUCUACUAUCUUCGUUUGAUGUGGAGCACUGAGGUCUCUCUGUUUCCAGCAUAGAUGCAGGCGACCCUUCACCAAAACAUUAAGACUGAAAUCAAGAGGAUGAGACUGAGGAGGAGGAGGACCGUGCACUGUGCUCCUGCUGUCAAGCUCCAAUGAAAAGCAGAGAGCAGUUCUUGUUACAACUUUCAAAAUAAAAGCUGCAAGAGCAAAAGCACUUGAAUGCUGUUAUUCUGAAAUCAUAAGUGUCGUUUUUCCGGUCCCACUCCCCCUGUCUUUGGCUGACUGGACACUGCUGAGGGUCCCUCCCGUGCAGGCGCUCAAUUGAGGGCACAGCCAAGCCUCUAAUCCGCAAACAUGGAUACGUCCUGAAGAUUAACUUCAAAUCUGGCAACAUUCGACCUCGACAACGUCUUUGCUUUGGUACACCGAGGAAUGAUUAAAUCUUUGCUCCAGUCCUGAUGGAAACGCAAAUCUAAUCUUCAAACUGGUCUGUGACGCUCCCUUGAAGAUUAACUACCUCAAACUGUUUAUCUGACACAGUCUCAUAGUAAAAUAAAAUGUG